GGCCUGGUCCUGUGCAAUGGCGGUUUCCGAACCGUGUCAGGCCCUGACGGGAGCAGCACUAAGGGGAUUGGCUAUGUGCCGCAGUCAACCAGGCUUCC
rnacentral:SRP_RNA from 1 species